ACGACCGUACCGCAAACCGACACUGGUGCGCGAGAUGAGUAUUCUAAGGCGCUUGAGAGAACUCAGGAGAAGGAACUCGGCAAAUUGACACCGUAACUUCGGAAGAAGGUGUGCCUUUAGUAGGUGAACCUGUACAAGGGGAGCCCAAUGAGGUUGCAAAAAAUCGGUGGCUGCGACUGUUUAAUAAAAACACAGCACUCUGCAAACACGAAAGUGGACGUAUAGGGUGUGACGCCUGCCCGGUGCUGGAAGAUUAAAUGAUGGGGUGCAAGCUCUUGAUUGAAGUCCCAGUAAACGGCGGCCGUAACGAUAACGGUCCUAAGGUAGCGAAAUUCCUUGUCGGGUAAGUUCCGACCUGCACGAAUGGCGUAACGAUGGCCACACUGUCUCCUCCUGAGACUCAGCGAAGUUGAAAUGUUUGUGAUGAUGCAAUCUCCCCGCGGAAAGACGGAAAGACCCCAUGAACCUUUACUGUAGCUUUGUAUUGGACUUUGAACAGAUCUGUGUAGGAUAGGUGGGAGGCUUUGAAGUGUGGUCGCUAGAUCGCAUGGAGCCAACGUUGAAAUACCACCCUGGUGUGUUUGAGGUUCUAACCUAGGCCCGUAAUCCGGGUCGGGGACAGUGCAUGGUAGGCAGUUUGACUGGGGCGGUCUCCUCCCAAAGCGUAACGGAGGAGUUCGAAGGUACGCUAGGUACGGUCGGACAUCGUGCUAAUAGUGCAAUGGCAUAAGCGUGCUUAACUGCGAGACUGACAAGUCGAGCAGAUGCGAAAGCAGGACAUAGUGAUCCGGUGGUUCUGUAUGGAAGGGCCAUCGCUCAACGGAUAAAAGUACUCUGGGGAUAACAGGCUGAUACCGCCCAAGAGUUCAUAUCGACGGCGGUGUUUGGCACCUCGAUGUCGGCUCAUCUCAUCCUGGGGCUGUAGCCGGUCCCAAGGGUAUGGCUGUUCGCCAUUUAAAGAGGUACGUGAGCUGGGUUUAAAACGUCGUGAGACAGUUUGGUCCCUAUCUUCCGUGGGCGCUGCAGAUUUGAGGAAGCCUGCUCCUAGUACGAGAGGACCGGAGUGGACACACCUCUGGUGUAUCGGUUGUCACGCCAGUGGCAUUGCCGAGUAGCUAUGUGUGGAAGAGAUAACCGCUGAAAGCAUCUAAGCGGGAAACUCGUUUCAAGAUGAGAUCUGCCGGGGCCUUGAGCCCCCUAAAGAGUCGUUCAAGACCAGGACGUUGUUAGGUCGGGUGUGGAAGCGCAGUAAUGCGUUAAGCUAACCGAUACUAAUUGCUCGUGCGGCUUGAUCA
rnacentral:rRNA from 1 species